rnacentral:tRNA from 1 species
GCGAGAGUGGCGGAAUUGGUAGACGCGCCAGAUUUAGGUUCUGGUGUUGAUGACGUGCGGGUUCGAGUCCCGCCUUUCGCACCA